GCAGGAGCCGGUGACCAUUCUGGAGGCGGAUGGGGUUAAGGGCCUGUUUGGGAACUGGUCGGCCGCCUGGGUGGUGGAGUUCUACUGGUCGUGGGGCGGCCCCUGUGUCAACUAUGGGGCCACCUGGAAGGUACUGGGCCCGGGAGGUGAAAGAAAAGGGGCAAAACCUACUUUUGAUGGACAAAUAAGGCUCACUGGAGGACCGGAAGGAGACUUGUCCUCCUGCCAUUUGGAGGUCCCCUAUUGGUGAACGCGGAAGUUGGGCCAUGAGGUUCUGAAGUUCCUGCCCCUCCCCUCUCUCAAUGAAGAUUGAGCUUCACUCAGACUGCAGCUUCCUUCCUCUGUCCAACAUCUGGCCACCAGAAGCCUUCUCAGUACUCUACAAGUGACUUCACCAACAUCCUGUACACCUUCAACAUGAUGUCCCAACUCCUUUGUUCAAUGGUGUGAACAAUUAAGCUAACCGAUGAAGGAGCAGCGCACUGAAAGCUAGUGCUUCCAAAUAAAUCUGUUGGACUAUAACCCACUGUUGUGAUUUUUCAACCUUGUCCCACCUAGUCCAACAGCAGCACCUCCACCUCCUUUCUAAUGAACACAGCCCAUACCUCCCGGUGCUGCCAGUAAACUGCCGAUGAAAUGAUGCAGUGCCUGCACUCCUGAAAAGUUUAUAAUUUCUAACGAAACCAGCUACUCAUUCACUGCUCCAUCUGAUACACGACUUUGGAAACUUAGUGCAGGAGGCUGCAAGAAAUGAGCAGCUUUAAAACAAAAACCGCUUGGAGCUUUCAAUGAGAGCCUGAGCCCAGCAGUACGUUCUGGUUACCUUUAUUGUGGCCCAACAUUGUUACAGCUGCAGAUGCCCCCAGCAAAAGGGCAGAGAAAGAAUAGCUGUGUAUUAGACAGCUCAACAACAGGGGGAGGUGCACGGGGCAGGGCAAGGCCAACAGCAGGCCCCCGCACUACGCCUGCGUUGCCUUGCACAGUUUACAAAAAUCCCUUCCCCUUCAGAGACUCCCCACAGUGUAGAAGCAGGCCACUCGACCCAAAGACUACACACCGAUCCUCCAAAGGGUAACCCACCAUGCAAUUCCCCUACCCCAUUGCUCAACAUUUUCCCCUGACUAAUGCACCUAACCUGCACAUCCCUGGGCACUAUGGGUAUUUCAGUACUGUCAAUCCACCUGAACCUGGACAACUCGUAUAUGCCAACCAGAUAUCCCAACCCAAUCUAGUCCCACCUGCCAGCACGGGGCCCAUAUCCCCCCAGUUGCCUUUUAAAUGUUGCAAUUGUAUCAGCCUCCACCACUUCCUCUGGCAGCUCAUUCCAUACACGUACCACCCUCUAAAUGAGAAGGUUGCCCCUUAGGUCUCUUUCAUAUCUUUCCCCUCUCACCCUAAACCUAUGCCCUGUAGUUCUGGACUCUCCCAUCCCAUAGAAAAGACUUUGUCUGUCUAUCCUAUCCAUGCCCCUCAUGAUUUUAUAAACCUCUAUAAGGUCACCCCUCAGCCUCUGACGCUCCAGGGAAAAUAGCCCCAGCCUGUUCUGUCUCUCCCUAUAGCUCAAAUCCUCCAGUCUUGGCGACAUCCUUGUAAAUCUUUUUAGAUUAGAUUAGAUUACUUAGUGUGGAAACAGGCCCUUCGGCCCAACAAGUCCACACCGACCUGCCGACGCGUAUAUCACCCAGACCCAUACUCCGGGGGUUUGCAAGGACUGCCACAAACACUACGUAGGACAAACAGGAAGAAAGUUAGCCACCAGGAUACACGCACACCAGCUAGCCAGAAAAAGACACGAUCUUCUAUCCCUUGUCGCCCAACAUACGGAUGAAAGAAAACACCACUUCGACUGGGACAACAUCUAUCCUGGGACAGGCUAAGCAAAGACAUGCCAGAGAAUUCCUAGAGGCCUGGCACUCCAAUCACAACACCAUAAACAAACACAUAGAUCUAGAUACCAUCUAUCAACCCCUCAGAAAAUGAACAGGAAAUGACAUCACCACAAACCCCAGGAACCCCAUCCAGGCCAAACAUAUAAAUCGAAAGCAGGAGACAACAGCUUCGCUUCAGUUGGAGGUCGCCACUGAUGAUGUUCCCGAACCAGGUAAUGAAACGUCUGGAUAUCAAACCUACAGCUCAGCGAGCAAACCUACACCCUAAUCCUCAACCUGAGCUACAAACCUUGCAAAGUUGAAUGUAUUUGCAAACAUCAUGCUGCAAAUACAAA